GGAGAAAAGCCGGAAAACAGACCCAAGUGAAGCUUCAGUGACCGUCUUUCAUGGUGGAAGCUGCUGGGCUUCAAGCUUAAGAGAUAAAACAACAAUACAAGGACUUCAUGGCUGCUAGAAGACGAGAGAUGUGAGGGAGAAGUGAGUCGGAGAGGCGAUGAUCUUCAACGAAGAAGAAGGAGAGAACCAGAAGGUUCUAGAGAGCAAACGUUU
rnacentral:lncRNA from 1 species